GACCCUACUUGAUUUAUGAGGUAGAGGAGGUAUUACUUGUACUAGCUUAGUUUGAACAAGUUCUAGUUGGUCUAUGACCCGUUGAUCUUCAAAGACUUUCUUUUUUAGCUCAAUUUACCUCCCACCAUCUCUUUCUUGGGUAAACUAUUUUUUCAUGAAUAUGGAUAUCGGCUUACAAUCAUAUUGUAAUCCUCUGAAAAAUAAAAAUAAUAUCCUAAUGACUCUUUAAAAUAUCUAAUAAAAUGAGCUCCCAUAGACCUAGC
rnacentral:lncRNA from 1 species